rnacentral:rRNA from 1 species
AUUGAACGCUGGCGGCAGGCCUAACACAUGCAAGUCGAGCGGAUGAGAGGAGCUUGCUCCUCGAUUCAGCGGCGGACGGGUGAGUAAUGCCUAGGAAUCUGCCUAGUAGUGGGGGACAACGUUUCGAAAGGAACGCUAAUACCGCAUACGUCCUACGGGAGAAAGUGGGGGAUCUUCGGACCUCACGCUAUUAGAUGAGCCUAGGUCGGAUUAGCUAGUUGGUAGGGUAACGGCCUACCAAGGCGACGAUCCGUAACUGGUCUGAGAGGAUGAUCAGUCACACUGGAACUGAGACACGGUCCAGACUCCUACGGGAGGCAGCAGUGGGGAAUAUUGGACAAUGGGCGAAAGCCUGAUCCAGCCAUGCCGCGUGUGUGAAGAAGGCCCUCGGGUCGUAAAGCACUUUAAGUUGGGAGGGAGGGCUUACAGCGAAUACCUGUGAGUUUUGACGUUACCGACAGAAUAAGCACCGGCUAACUUCGUGCCAGCCGCCGCGGUAA